GAUGAACGCUAGCGGCAGGCUUAACACAUGCAAGUCGAGGGGCAGCGCGGGAUAGCAAUAUCCUGGCGGCGACCGGCGGACGGGUGCGUAACGCGUGAGCGACAUGCCCGUUGCCCGGGGACAACCGGUGGAAACGCCGACUAAUCCCCGAUGGGAUACGAUGCUUCAUGGCAUUGUAUUGAAAGUUACGGCGGCGACGGAUUGGCUCGCGUCCGAUUAGCUGGUUGGCGGGGUAACGGCCCACCAAGGCUGCGAUCGGUAGGGGUUCUGAGAGGAAGGCCCCCCACAAUGGGACUGAGACACGGCACAUACUCCUACGGGAGGCAGCAGUGAGGAAUAUUGGUCAAUGGGCGGAAGCCUGAACCAGCCAUGCCGAGUGCGGGAAGGAGGCCAUAUGGGCUGUGAACCGCUUUUGCCUGGGGGCAAUAAGGGCGUCGCGCACGUCCGAUGAGAGUACCAGGCGAAUAAGCAUCGGCUAACUCCGUG
rnacentral:rRNA from 1 species